UCUUACCUAAAAAAAGAAGAAAACGUAGCGCAUGUCUGAAACCAUUUUCUCUCGCCAUUACUAUGAAUGUUUCGGUUUUCGGUAACUAAAAUAGAAAGAUUUCAGAAUGAUUUAUUUCUUGGUUUCCAGUUUCUUUACCUUCUGCAACCCAAACCUCCCAGCUCUUAGGUUUGAUUCACUUCUCUUCCAAACAUCGCUUCAUGUUUCUUCUUUUCGGUAACUUCAGAUCCUAAAGUGGCUAUGCUACUGAUAACCGCCUACGAAAGCUCGAAGGUGAAUGUAUCGAUGCCCUCUUUCAUCACGAUGCACAUUAGUUGGUUCUACUAUUCCAGUUCACGGUGCUGGAGGAUGUGAGAUGGAUAUUGCAGAAAGAGAUUUUCCCUGGAAAAUUUCAGGUAUGUAAUGUUCAACAUAAUAAGACUUUGAUAUGUGUAUUUUGUUCUAACAGUUUAAGUGUUCCUGACAUCUGAGAACCUGAUCGAGGGAGUCAUCUUAAUUCUUAAUCUUCAUAUUAUCAUGAUGUCAAUUUUUCAAUCCUGCAAUUCUUUGGUGGCCAAUAAUCCGCCAUGUAACCAAAGUCUGUUUUUCCCGUUUCUGUACCCCAAAGGACUAAUGGAUGGUGAUCGGCGAAAUUUGUGCACAUUCAGUACCAUUUAUCAAGGACUAACGGAUGGUGAUCGGCGACAUUUAUGUUAUUGCAUGAGUGUUCGUCUCAAGAGUUCAAUAUUUUAAUUUUUUUUAUCUGUUUUGGAAUGUGAAUUUAUGUUAACUUUGUUAGCAAAUGUACCUAUUUUAGGUGGAGCCUGUUUGGAAGAAAGAAUGUAGUUGUCCAAUGUGCUACGUAGUUUCAUGUGAGCGUUUGGGAUACUGGUGGCUCCAAGUGCGAUAGACUUGGCUAGACUACCUUUUAUGAGGAACGGAAGUGAAACUCAUACUAAAGUGGUUUGGGGUGAUGGAGAUAGCUGGAAACUACCUCGAAUUAAGAAUUAAAGUGCUAAUUAAUUAAGUUACGCAUACUUGGUACGUUAUCCAUAUCUCUUUUGCAUUUCAGAUUGUAUCUCUAAUCCUUUCCAUUGUGAUGGAAAAAAAAAACAGUUCAUAGGAUCACCGUUUUAAUUAGCUUUAGUUGUCAAGUUUAACCAUAUCCGUAGGUGCUAGCAUCACAUGCCAACAUUUAGUCAUUUCCUAGACACAUCUCUUCUAAGCACCGCACUGAUGGCACAGCUGUAGUGUGUCUAAAUCAAGUGGGAAAGUUGCAUGUUUGAUUCAUGAUAGGUUAACUCCCCCGUAGUAGUUUGAAUGUAUGACAAAUUCAGAAACUUUAUUGAUAACAUGCGUAGCUAAUUUAAACCUUUCAGGUGUGCCAGUAGGUUCGUUUCUUAGAACUUCUUUAUAAACUACCUAACCUUCUAACUGUGAUUCCUGUUUGUUUUGUUAACUACCAUAACAAGAGCAUUUUGUGUCCUUUUGGUGAUUAAAUGAUUUUUAAGUUGUAGAUAGCAAGAAUUCUUCUUAACAGCAGAAUGUGUUUGGUUGAGAAUGAGCAUUGUAUGGUCAUUUAUAUUUUAAAAAGCUUUUGGUAUGAGAUAGUAAACCAUGAUUGUUUAGUUUUUCAAACGCUAAUUUGGGUUCACUAUGAGAUGUUCGAUAAAAAUUCUGACAUAAUCUUCGUUUUUUUGUUUUGUUUUUGUUUUUGGGUGUGCUAUUUGAAAUUCAUUCUUAUAAAAGAACUCAUUCAAUUGGGACUAAUACGAAGAGAUGUGUUCAAAGUCAAAUGUUUUUGCAGGACGCAUAUAAGUGAAUUAAUAUAUUUUGCAUGAUUGUUGCAAUGAAAGCUCCUACAGUGUUCUACCUGAAGGACAUGUGAGCAGAAAGUGGAGAGAAAGGAGUGCUUGAUUAUUACAAUUUUAAUGCCUUUGGUAAGGCAUCCAAACUUAAAAACGGAAAAUGUUGGUUUGAAUGUCAACUUAUUUUAGCAUUUACAUGAGAAAAUUGGAUUUCCCUACCAUGAAAAAUCAAUAGCACCCCAGUUAAUAACCUUAUUUUCAACAACUAGCGAAAAACCCCGCCAUACCGGCAGGGUUCACCAUUCAAUGUUGCGUGAUCAGAUACUCUAUGCAGUAAGGUCGCACCAGAGUGAGAUAUUCUGAAAUGGAAUAUGAUCGGAAUCACAUUGUGGAUUAGUAAAAUAUUGUUCAACGUCAAACUGCCUACUUUGUUGUUGACAAAAGAUGGAACCCCAGACAGCCAAGAUGGAUUCUCUCUGCAAUGGAUACCAGACAUCCAUGAUGGAUUUCCCACAACGGAACGAGAAUGAGGAUAAAGUUAUGCAAAGACGAUGUAAUUGUUGGAUACCAAAAGGGAUUGAGCUAAAAAUUAUAAAAAUAUCAGCCAAAUAUGAUGUAGCUUACUUUUUGCUUAAUAAAAAGGUGUUUUAUAAAAA